UGGUGGGGGUAAUGCUUCAUCACUAAAGCCUUAGGGCGCUUAGGGAGGGGCUUGCGUCCGAUUAGCUAGUUGGUAGAGUAAUGGUUUACCAAGGCGAUGAUCGGUAGCUGGUUUGAGAGGACAUGCAGCCACACUGGGAUUGAGAUACGGCCCAGACUCCUACGGGAGGCAGCAGCAAGGAAUUUUGUGCAAUGGGCGAAAGCUUGACACAGCGACGCCGCGUGGGGGAUGAAGGCCUUCGGGUUGUAAACCCCUUUUCUCAGAGAAGAAUAAUGACGGUACCUGGGGAAUAAGUCUUGGCUAACUACGUGCCAGCAGCCGCGGUAAUACGUAGGAGGCGAGCGUUAUCCGGAUUUACUGGGCGUAAAGCGUGCGUAGGCGGUUUGUUAAGUCUGAUGUGAAAUCCCCGGGCUCAACCUGGGACGUGCAUUGGAAACUGGCGAUCUAGAGUACGGUAGAGGGUGGUGGAAUUCCCGGUGUAGCAGCGAAAUGCGUAGAGAUCGGGAGGAACACUCGUGGCGAAGGCGGCCACCUGGACCAGUACUGACGCUGAGGCACGAAAGCGUGGGGACAUAACAGGAUAGAUACCCU
rnacentral:rRNA from 1 species